UGCAGUCGAGGGGUAACGGGGUGCUUGCACCGCCGACGACCGGCGCACGGGUGCGUAACGCGUAUACAACCUACCUUAUAGAGGGGAAUAGCCCAGAGAAAUUUGGAUUAAUGCCCCAUAGUAUUAUCGAUUAGCAUUAAUUGAUGAUUAAACAUUUAUGGCUAUAAGAUGGGUAUGCGUUCUAUUAGCUAGAUGGUAAGGUAACGGCUUACCAUGGCUACGAUAGAUAGGGGUCCUGAGAGGGAGAUCCCCCACACUGGUACUGAGACACGGACCAGACUCCUACGGGAGGCAGCAGUGAGGAAUAUUGGACAAUGGGCGAGAGCCUGAUCCAGCCAUGCCGCGUGCAGGAAGACGGCCCUAUGGGUUGUAAACUGCUUUUAUACAGGAAGAAACACUCCCUUGCGAGGGAGCUUGACGGUACUGUACGAAUAAGGAUCGGCUAACUCCGUGCCAGCAGCCGCGGUAAUACGGAGGAUCCAAGCGUUAUCCGGAAUCAUUGGGUUUAAAGGGUCCGUAGGCGGGACAAUCAGUCAGCGGUGAAAGUCUGUGGCUCAACCAUAGAAUUGCCAUUGAUACUGUUGUUCUUGAAUACUUAUGAAGUGGUUGGAAUAUGUAGUGUAGCGGUGAAAAUGCAUAGAUAUUACAUAGAACACCGAUUGCGAAGGCAGAUCACUAAUAAUUUAUUGACGCUGAUGGACGAAAGCGUGGGUAGCGAACAGGAUUAGAUACCCUGGUAGUCCACGCCGUAAACGAUGGUUACUAGCUGUUCGGUCGCAAGACUGAGUGGCUAAGCGAAAGUGAUAAGUAACCCACCUGGGGAGUACGUUCGCAAGAAUGAAACUCAAAGGAAUUGACGGGGGCCCGCACAAGCGGUGGAGCAUGUGGUUUAAUUCGAUGAUACGCGAGGAACCUUACCAGGGCUUAAAUGUAGAUUGACAGGGGUGGAAACACCUUUUCCUUCGGGCAAUUUACAAGGUGCUGCAUGGUUGUCGUCAGCUCGUGCCNUGAGGUGUCAGGUUAAGUCCUAUAACGAGCGCAACCCCUGNNUAGUNNNNNUAGUUAGUCAGCGAGUCAAGUCGGGAACUCUAACAAGACUGCCAGUGCAAACUGUGAGGAAGGUGGGGAUGACGUCAAAUCAUCACGGCCCUUACGUCCUGGGCCACACACGUGCUACAAUGGUAGGGACAGAGAGCAGCCACUGCGCAAGCAGGAGCGAAUCUAUAAACCCUAUCUCAGUUCGGAUCGGAGUCUGCAACUCGACUCCGUGAAGCUGGAAUCGCUNGUAAUCGCAUAUCAGCCAUGAUGCGGUGAAUACGUUCCCGGGCCUUGUACACACCGCCCGUCAAGCCAUGGAAGCUGGAAGCACCUGAAGUCCGUCACCGUAAGGAGCGGCCUANNNNAG
rnacentral:rRNA from 1 species